AGAUUGAACGCUGGCGGCAGGCCUAACACAUGCAAGUCGAGCGGCAGCACGGGUACUUGUACCUGGUGGCGAGCGGCGGACGGGUGAGUAAUGGCUAGGAAUCUGCCUGGUAGUGGGGGAUAACGCUCGGAAACGGACGCUAAUACCGCAUACGUCCUACGGGAGAAAGCAGGGGGACCUUCGGGCCUUGCGCUAUCAGAUGAGCCUAGGUCGGAUUAGCUAGUUGGUGAGGUAACGGCUCACCAAGGCGACGAUCCGUAACUGGUCUGAGAGGAUGAUCAGUCACACUGGAACUGAGACACGGUCCAGACUCCUACGGGAGCAGCAGGUGGGG
rnacentral:rRNA from 1 species